AAGUACAGUUGAUUGACCCUGAGGAGCUUUUUUGUUAAACAAUUUUAUCUGGAAAGAAGUUUCCCUCCUGUUAAAAAGAUGCGCGUCUAUAGGAAAAAAAAGAAACAGGAAUCUACUACAUUGAUGCAGAGUUCACGACCGGUUUACUCUUUUUCGUCUACUCUCCUCAUUUGCAUACGUUUGAGAUCUAUAUGCCGGUUAUUUUUCCCUUAAUCAUUCGUCAGCAAGAUGAGCUACACAGCACGAGAGAAAGAAAAUAAGACUAGAGGCUAUACACAAAGGAUCAAGGUCGCAUUUUCUGGUUUUUUUUUAAAUUUCCUAUUUUGGGGCUGGUAAUGUCAGCAGUUGAACCAAAUCAUUUGAGCUCGGACUUCUUUUCCCCCCCCCGUGAGUAAUUUCACGGUGACGUUGGUUGUAUUAUAUACUGACGUACGUACGUUGUUAGGACUAUUGCGUUAUAAUUUGUAACUUGUUUUUCCCAUUUCGCUGUUGUUGGUGUAGGACAAAGCCAAACAGGAUUUGAUCAUCAGACACGCAGGAAAUGACCAAAUGGCCAACUAGCGCGUCCUUGAAUUGAAGGUAACUAUUAUUUACUCAUUCGUCGACAGAGAGCGGUGGCGGGGAAAUUCAAACACAAUAAGACAUAAAAGAAACGAGUGGGAAAUCAUCAUUAUAACAACGCCGGAACUAUUGGUGCGCUUGUCUGCAAUUCUUUCACGUAUAAAAAUGAAUCGCCGACCUCCAUCAAUCUGCGAAAUAUCCCGCAGUUCGCCCUUAAAAUCUUUCUCAAAGAUAUAAUUCACAUCGAUCUAGUCAUGCAUAACAGAGGACCUUACUUAUAAUAUAUGCGAAAGAAAUAAUAAAACAAAAAAGUAUAUGAAAAUCACGAAAAAAUAAGGCCCCGUUAUUCAGACAACCGCCCAAGUCAUGGAUGAGACGGACGAGAGAUAAGCAAGGACGUUGGAGUGCACUCACCUUUUUAUUGAAGUCGAAAGCAAAAUGUAUUAUAAUGUACGCCUCUUCUUCUGGAAAGAAAAAAAUUGCCCCGAAGAAAAUUGCAUUCUCAAAUUAUAAUAAUACAACACACGAUUUUGAGACGCUGAUAAUAUUUGAUGUAAAAACAAAAUAAGCCAGACAAAGACUUAACGGAUUUGAUUAAUAUUUGAACCGUGUAUAAUUUGGUGCUGGAAGAAAUUCUCUCUCAACUUUUUUUUUUUCUUUUAUAGGACGCGGGUGAAAUAUAAUAAAAGAAACUUUUGAUGGUCAGAACAAUUGACGAUGUGUAUAAAAAUAAGAAACAAUAGUAUAGAGCGAUACACAGCAAAAAAGAAAUGACAAAUGGAAAAUAUUUUUUGUUGGAUUUUUAUAUAGUUGGUACGUCUAAAAAAUGUAUCAGAUUAUACGUACGUACUUGUUUAUCUUAUUAGGAGAUUGAACUAA